GGGGGGUGGAGCCAGAUGAGCUUUGAGGUCCCUUUCACCUCAAACAAUUCUGGGAUUCUAUGAUUCUCUUUACUGCCAGAACAGAUAUUUAAUGCCAUAAAUCCAUUGGUGAGUGUAAGAAUGGCUUAUUCCUGUUCCAUUUACUGGAUUUCCAUUGCUCCUAUAGGGUGCUGUAGGAGGUGUUUUAAAGCACAGGCCAGUGAAACAGGUUCUCAUGGUGCUUUCCCUAGAGCUUGGCCUCAUUCUAUGUCAUUUUGUCAAAACUUGGAGUGCCUGAGAUGAAAUUCCCUGUGGCAUAUUCCUACCUCUCUGGGCUGCAGGGCAGGGUGGGGAGGAGAGGGAAAAGUGGAGUGUAAUGAGGAGGGAUUUGGGGGGCAGGUACAGACCUGGGGAGCAGUAUAAUUUGGGGAGGAGACUUGGCUGAAAGGCAGCGUUGAGUGAACGCGGCCCGUCUGUGGGCUCAGACACUGUGGAGACACGGGAGGGGGAGUGGCAGCAUGAGGGGAAAGGGGCAGCGAGCACUGGGGUCAUCCUUGGGCAGGGAGCAGAUCCAGGGGAGCUGGAGGCAGGGCAGGGAGCCGAGGGAGGCGGGACCACAGGGAGGAAUGGGAGGGUGAGCUGCCUGUGUCCCCUCCAUCCAGUGUGGAGCCACGUGCCUGCUGCUCCGUGGCAAAUCAUCGGGCUGUGGGGCACAGCAGCCCUCCGGUGUCGGUGCAGGGCUGUGUGCUGAAGGUCUGGUGUCCCUCAGGUGUUUUUUCAGGCUGGGGAAUGGGUACAGUUCUGACAGAGGCUGAACACACACCGAUCAGAGAGCCGCUCAUUGACCCUGCUGCUGAGGGACCCGAGGGCUGGGUUUCUGUUCGGGGGCGGUACCUGCCGUCACAGAGGCUUCUCAGCCUCCGAGUUACUCCGGCAUGAUUUCCCGAGGCUGUCGCACACCGAGUCUCCCCGUGCCCAGGAGAUGGCAGUCCUGCCUUUGGACAGGGAGUGCAGUUCCUCUGAGGGCACCAGAGGUUUCCUGAAGACGAAGUCCUGGGCUGCGUGUUUGGUUCUGCUGGUGAGGGGAAGGCUACCACUGCGGGGACUGGUGGUCUGUGCUGUCAUGGGUGAUCCCGAAGCAGGGGUGGUGAGCCGUGAGGACAGUCUGUGCUCAGCAGGGAGGUAUUCCUGAGUGUGUAUUGAUGACACGAACCCCAGCUGUGGGUCGGUGUCACUGUCAGGGAGUUAUCACCACAGCUCUAUGCAGCUUCAGCUCCUCCAGGUGUGAAGGCUUUAAUCACAGCCAGGUAAAAGUGUCCUUGUGAGGAUGGAGCCCACCAUCAUGGAGCCUCACCAUUGUCUGCCUCUUCCCAGCCAUGGCUGGUGCCUUAAGCAUUCCAGCAGGGAGUGCACGAUGGAAACCAUCGUCCCCCUGCUCCCCACUUACAGCCCUCAGCUGUUGUUGUCCUUCCCCUCGGUCCCCAUCCUCCCUCGCCUUCACCAGCAUUCCCAAGUCACCCCUGUUCUGCCCGGGGCUCUCCAGCCCCUUCCCAGCCUGGCUCAGGGGCUGUGCCCUCUCUCCAUCUCCCAUCCCACACGCCUUUGGUCUGUGGGAGGUGACAUUCUCAGAGGGGCAAGAGGAACAGCAGAGCUGAGCAAGGGGCACAAUCCUGGAGGGGUGCUUGGAGCCAUCCAUGAUGCUCAGCCCUUCACAGAGGUCACUGGAGAGAACCAGCAACAAUCUGGCAUCUAAUUCUACAUUACUGGAAACUUGGCUCUGCUGUUACAGAGCAGGAGCCACUUGGAGUGACUUUCACUCUUGGGAUGAUGGCAAAGGAUCUGUUUGCUAAGCAAAAUGUCCAACCCAUUAUGGAAAUCCAUCGUUGAACCCAUCCCAGUUCUCUCUUCAUGAGGGGUAAGUGACAAACACGUUGGGCAGUGCCACCCCCUUGGGCACAAGCUGAUGUGCCUCAGCUUCCAGGUGCCUGUCCUGCAGCUUCAAAAUUCUUCUUGCCUUUAUUGUUCUCCUUGGAAGUCGGUCAUCAGUGCUGGUGUCAGGGAUGUGAUGCUGCACAGAGCACCCGCAGAGGGGCUUCGGGUCACAGAUACACUGCAAACAGAGCUUCCAAAUCUGGAGACAGCUGGGCCCAGAGGGAGCCAACCAAAAAGAGCAUCUUCUCAAAUGUGAAUAUCCCCGGGGUGAGAAACCAGCUAGGGAAAGGUCUGACCUUCAAAGCAAGAAAGCAAACUUCAUGGGAUUAUUUUUAGAGAAGAAACAGAGCUCUGUAGUGGGAAGUGCUGUCACAAUGCUCUGCUCAGCACUCCAAAAAUUGGUGGUUGUAGUCAUGUUGCAGAGCCAUAAACUCCUUUGGGGAAUGAAGCCUCUUCAUCCCUUUUCUCUUUAAAAUCACAUAAGCAAGUCUUAAAAAUUCCCCUCUUGAAAUUCUGUGUCUUAGUAGAUGCUUUGUGAUCUUUACUCUUUAAACUGUGCAAAUGUUUACGGUUGUAUAAAGCCGAACUGAAGCUGUCAGUUAUUUCUUGGUCACUCUCCUAUUAAGGAGGAAACACUUUGUUGUUCUUCAAACGUUUGCAACCCUAAGAGGUUCUUUUCAAAUGUUUCUUUGUGAAUAAAGAUGACCUGUGCCUUUACAUCCCAGCUGCCAGAUGCCAUCUCAGUGUGAACAGGGAGAUAAAUCCAUGUACAAACACACGCACACGAGACCUUCCUCUGGAUGCUGAGGGUAGAAAAACCUUUUCAGCAUGAAAUAUUUCCAUAAGUUGGGGAAUUAAUUUGUUAUCUCGUGAUUCUUUUGCAAACAAUGGGCCAGAAGACAGCUGCUCUCCUGGCCAGCCAGUCCUUCCUUUGAUGCCUGGCUCUGGCUGAAGGCUGGUUAAGAAGCACUGACACUUAAAAGGGCUGUUUUAAAGUUGAAAGAUGUCCAGAGAGGAAACAGAAGCUUUUGGACUCACUUGAAACAACCUUCCACUGCUGUUAAACCCUGGUGGAACUGAGGGGAUUUAUCUGAGAAAAGGAGUUGAAUGCAGGGAGGCGAUGAAGCCGCAUCCCUGGGGAUGUUCUCAGAUCUUCCCUCUGCAGAGACAAAAGCAGAUUUACAGUGUGUGAGAGCGAGACUGAGGAGCCAGUGACCUGGAGGAGCGGGUGAGUGGUGGGAGAGGUGACACGUGGGGCUGGCCAUGGUCUGGCUCAUGGCCAGGCAGUGCAGAGAUGGGGCUCGUGCCCCAGCUUUCCUGGCCUGAGGACACCUGGGGAGAUGCUGCACUGAUGAUGUUCCCAGCAGCUUCCAAACACACUCAGAGGUGUUUGACCCUCUGGUUUGCAAAGCCCUUCUCCGGGUCAUGGACCCCCUGCCACGAUGGACCUGUGGUGACACAGGAUCCCUGGGCACAGCAUCUUGCUGUUCUUGGGAUCUGCACUUGAAAACUGUUUCUUCUUGUGUUCCUACACCCAAAGCAAUGAUGUUCCUCAGCCAGAUUCCCCAUCCCUCCCCUGCAAUCCAGACCUCCAGGUUAUCCCAUCCUGCUCCUCCAGGCUGGUGGCAACCAGUGAUUCAAGGACCAGCAGAAGCCAAGUGCCCCAAGAUAAAAAGGAGAGAGCUGAUUAAUCCUGGAGCUGGAAGAGCUGCAGAGAGAGGACUUCAGGGAGGAUUUAGUUAGCAGUGGCCCAGAUACAUCAAACCAUCUCCUGCAUAAAGCCAUAUCCCAUUACUGCUCCUCUGUGCAGCACAGCUUAUGGUACUUAUCCUAUUAGAAGCCUGACAGUGCUAUGAUAUAUUCCAAGGAGUCUGUGAUAAACUUCCUGUCGCUGUUU